UCGCGAGGCUUGUUCGCAAGGCAUCGCGCAUGCGCCUCUAAGCCGCGCCAUUUUGGAACUGGCUGGCAGACUGGAGCUAGGCCUUGUGGGCGCGGCGGGGGAGAAACGGCGGCAAAGAGGAGCGUUCAAAAUCCGGGAUCCCGACUGGAGCUGCUGUGCUUUGCCGGAACUUGGCUGACAGCCUGGCCUUCUAGGUGAUCUGGAUUCUGAACAUGAGGCCUGGAUAUUUUGCAACCUGUUGCCUCACUUGUGGGGGACAAAAGGUAGCUGGAUGUUGACCUGCAGAGUCGGCUUCGGUUGAAAGGGAAAACGUUGACUAAAAAGUGAAUUGGGAUUAAAACCAGCUCAGUAACUUUUCCACUUCAAACACUUCUGAACUCUGCAGAACCCACCUCAUGAACUUUUGAAAUUCUCCUUAAAUUCAGGAUAACACCUUGGACUAAUAUUUUCCCACAUGGAAUGGAUAAUUGUAUAAACUUCUUAAGCUCUUCAUACUACUUUCAAGAGCUGUUUUUGCUUUCUGGUUCAGUCAUUUCAGGCAAAGCUGAGAUUUAGUGCUUCGACACAACAAAAUGCCGAAAAGAAAAUGUAAAUUUUCUGUUGGGCUACAGAAGAAGUAUACCUGUUUUAGAAGAGGUAGAGAUGAUUUUGAAGGUGAAUGCAUGAUAUGUAAACCGGGUACAUUUGUCUCUGUGGCAAAUAAAGGAGGACGUGACUUGCAAUCACACGUGGAGUCCGAAAAACACAAAAAAGCAAUUCGAGGCGAAGCUUCCUCAGCACAAUUAACAGACUUUUUCAUAAAACCAUGUAGCAAAUUGGAAGAUGAAGUAACUGCAGCUGAAGGAACUUUUGCUUUUCACACUGUUAAGCACCACAACAGUUAUAAUGUGAUGGCGUGCACAUCAGGCCUACUGAAGACGACAUUCCCGGAUUCCAAUAUCGCAAGGAAGUUUUCAAGUGCAAAAACCAAGACAGAAGCAAUUGUAAAUUCUGUCUUGGCACCCGAUUGUUUGGAAAAUGUUUUGAAAAGCAUUGAAGAAAAUGACGUAUGUUAUUGUGGAGUUUCUACUGAUGGGAGUAACCAUGGUUCAGUAAAGGUGUUUCCAAUAGUUAUUCAGUAUUUUGACUGGAAAAGUGGUGGUUUGCAGUCCAAAAUAAUUGAAAUGCAAAGCCAACCCAAUGAGACUGCAGAUACAAUCUUGUCAUACGUGAAGGAAACUCUUGAAAGUAAAGGACUGCUAAAGAAAUGCAUAGCAUUCAUAGGUGACAACUGCAACACAAUGUUUGGAGGGAUACGAUGGGAUUCAGAAGGAAGAAAUGUGUUUGCAAAGUUGAACAAUGAGCUAGAUAACAAAACUUUAAUUGGUGUGGGAUGUCCAGGACACAUUUUGAAUAAUUGUGUUCAUCAGGCAGCAGAAACUUUGGACAUUGAUGUUGAGAGCAUCAUUUUCAAGAUAUACCAGUACUUUCACAUCUAUACAGUCCGAACGGAGCAGUUAAAGGAGUACUGUGAAUUUGUAGAUACUGAAUACAAAAAGCUGCUAUCUCAUAGCAAGACAAGGUGGUUGUCAUUAUUUCCAGGCGUCAAUAGACUCAUUCGCGUGUUUCCAGCUGUCAAGGCAUUUUUUCUCUCUCAGAAUAAUCCACCAACAGUGUUAAAAAGGUUUUUUGAGCACGCGUUUAGUGAGGUUUAUUUAUUGCACUUGCAGUCUCUCAUGAGUAUGUUUCACUCAUAUAUUUUAGAACUCGAAAGGGAAAAUAAUUCAGUUGUAGAGGUUCUGAAAGUUCUGCUUUGUGUUCAGAACGUGCUCAAUGAACAUAAAAGCAACAACUUUAUGUCCCUCAAAGUUAAGAGCCUUCUAGAAGAAAAGCGUAAGGAGGGUCUUGGUGCAGAGUGUAACAAAUUCUAUGCAGAUGUAAAUAGCUUAUAUGACAGCUGCAUAGAAUAUCUGGGAAAAUGGAUGGAGUCCAUGAAAGAGUUUUCAUGCUUCAUGUGGAUGUCUCUUAGUGAGCCACUUGAGUGGGAUAAGGUAGAACUUUCCAUAAAAUUUCUCCUGGACAGGGAUGUUUCCAUAGAUGAUGUGAAGUGCUUUGAUCAAUUCUGCAACCUCAAGAAGUUUGUGGAUCAAUACAAAGGUGAUGAUAAGUUCAUUAAUCUUCAGGCACAUCAGAAGUGGACCAAGUACUUUGAGACUUCCCAAAACAUGUGCCACUCAGAACUUUUGAAGAUUGCACAGUUUUUUUUUGCUGUUGCAUCACAUGAUAAUGCAAAUAUGGAACACAUUUUCUCUUUGAUGCAGAGUUGGUGGAGCAAAGAAAGAGGCCACUUAUCCUUGGAAUCGCUGCGGAGUAUAUUGCUAGUACAAUAUAAUUAUAAGCACUUUACUUGCAAGGAAUUUCAUGCUUAUCUCUUACGCAAUAAGCAGUUGUUGAAUAAGAUAAGAUCUACAGAGAAAUAUGCUUGGGCCAGACAACAUCAGAAAGAAGAACAAAGUGCAUUUGAAAGUGACAUACCAUAAGUACUUAGAACUGAAGGAGGCAGUUGGACACCCGUUUCCCACACGAUGUGCUCUCAAGGCUCAGAUUAAUUCUACUGGACCCAACUUUUGCACAAAUCCCUUGGAAAAGUUAAGUGCUGCAGACAACAUGCACAUUUCUCUGAGACAGCUACUUUACUUUCCGGCUACUUUACCUUCCUGCAUUGCAAAGCUUCACUUUUGGGCACAACUUCCUCUUCUACAGUCUCUGCAGCUUUCUGGAAAAACGGGGAGAUAGAAUUGAAGAGGCCCAGGAGGAUUCACAACACACACAGCUGGAGAAGUGCUUUGUUGCUCCAUACAGCAGUAAGUCCCAGUGAAGAAAAUGGGACUUGCUUCUGUGUAGAGGGCUGUACAGUAAGUUGGCCACAGCCACAAAGCCAGUUGCUUUUUAGAAUCGUGGCCACAAUUGGAAUGUAAAAUUUAACAACAGGCUCCUUGUGUGAGGAUGGCGAUCUAAAAAAGCUUUCAGCUUUCAAGUCAAUGUAAAGGCAAAGAGACUCCAACCCAAUAUUCAGAGUUCUCCAUAACUCCUCCCCCCGACACAUUUUGAGAGUGAAUUCUUCCUGCUGAAGUUUCGACACCCACUGGGAUUCUUUGCAGUGGUGACAGUUUCCAUUCAUAAAAUCAAUCCAGAAGGUGUUGACCUAAAGAGAGGCCCACAUAACCCCCUCAUACCU